rnacentral:rRNA from 1 species
GACGAACGCUGGCGGCAUGCCUAAUACAUGCAAGUCGAACGCUGAAGCACCCUGCUUGCAGAGUGCGGAUGAGUGGCGAACGGGUGAGUAACACGUGGGGAAUCUGCCUAUAAGUGGGGGAUAACAUUCGGAAACGGAUGCUAAUACCGCAUAUAUUCUUGGACCGCCUGGUCCUUGAAAGAAAGACGGCUUUGCUGUCGCUUAUAGAUGAUCCCGCGGCGUAUUAGUUAGUUGGUGGGGUAAAGGCCUACCAAGACAAUGAUACGUAGCCGACCUGAGAGGGUGAUCGGCCACACUGGAACUGAGACACGGCCCAGACUCCUACGGGAGGCAGCAGUAGGGAAUCUUCCACAAUGGGCGAAAGCCUGAUGGAGCAAUGCCGCGUGAAUGAAGAAGGUCUUCGGAUCGUAAAGUUCUGUUAUUAGAGAAGAACAAGUCAAGGAAUAACUGUCUUGACUUUGACGGUACCUAACCAGAAAGUCACGGCUAACUACGUG